rnacentral:rRNA from 1 species
UACAGAGGGUGCAAGCGUUGUUCGGAAUUAUUGGGCGUAAAGCGCGUGUAGGCGGCUUUAUAAGUCGGGGGUGAAAGCCUGUGGCUCAACCACAGAAUUGCCUUCGAUACUGUAGAGCUUGAGACCGGAAGAGGUAAGUGGAACUGCGAGUGUAGAGGUGAAAUUCGUAGAUAUUCGCAAGAACACCAGUGGCGAAGGCGGCUUACUGGUCCGGUUCUGACGCUGAGGCGCGAAAGCGUGGGGAGCAAACAGG